GUACCCUCAAGCUCUGCUUGGUGUUGGGUGUUUGUCCCGCCUCGCGCGUGGACUCGCCUUAAAGUCAUUGGCAGCCGGAAUAAUUCUGGGGAACGCAGCACAACUGCAGCCUCCACGUUACGCCGAGCGUCCAGUAAGCCUUUUUUCUAAC
rnacentral:misc_RNA from 1 species